ACUAUCCAGCCGCUUAGGUUGGCUAGGAAGCGCUGGGAUCGAGAUGCUCUCGUUUACAAACAAACACAGUUUGAAUCCUGCGGAGACCGGCCGGAAUCGAGGCACUAAGCGGUUGAGAGCUCAUUUUGUAAAAGAACGGAGGGAUCACCAUGCGAGGGGACUUUACCGACCCGUCACCAGCAUGCCCGAUUUUGUUUUAAACGAAUUUGGGCUCCUCUUUUCUCCACUGGAAAAAGAAGCCUCUAUUUUCCGUCCCCGGAGGAUCCAGGGCAGGAAGCGCCCGCUUGCCACUGUUUCCCUAUGUCAGCACUCGUGAAAAGGCCGGACGGACAGGGAAAACAACGAGAAUUCCAACUCCAACAGCCACAACCCGCUCUCGGCGUCAAUGAACGGGAAUAAGACAGUUUUGGGGAGCUCAGAGGACGAGAAGACGCCGUCAGGGACCCCGGAUCACACCUCCUCCAGCCCCGCGCUGCUGCUCAGCUCCAACCCCGGGCUGCAGCCCCUGCACGGCCUGGGCCACCCCCAGGGCCCCAGCGCCAUCCCCGUGCCCAGCGCCGAUCCCAUGCACCACCACAGCUUGCAGGACUCCAUUCUCAACCCCAUGUCAUCUAAUUUGGUCGAUCUGGGCUCUUAAAACCGUGUACACGCUCACUCCUUCGCGCCAGCCCUCCUUUCCUCAAUUUUUCCUAUUAUUUUUUUUCCUUUAAUCUUACAAGGGACUUUGAAAGCAAUGACAAACACCUUAGUGGAAGUGUUGUGCCCUUUGGCAGCAGGCUGGCUGCAGGUUUGCAAGGUAGUGGACUCCGCUGUGGGUAGCUGAUAUUGUGAAAAGCCUUAAGGGUUGCUUACAGGCGUUUUCAGGCGUGUAAGGACUGUGGGACAGGAGCCGUGAUUUUCACGGCAGGCUGUAAGGCUGAUCGGUGUAGCAGCUCAUUCCAGCCUUAACUUCACAAAUCUCUCAGUGUUGUCACUCGAUCGGGCCGGUCUGUGUGGGAAGGGCACAUCGUAAUAUUUUUAUUUUUUUGGGGGGGUGGGGAAGAAAGGGGAACGCAAGGCUGCUCUUGCCAUGCCUGUUUGAAAGUUACACAUCGCUCCCGUUAUUCUAUUGUAGCUAUGUAUCCGUGGCAGGUGUACGAUGUACAAUUUCAACUAAGAAUACAAAAGUCGUAGUCAAGAUAUAGCAGCAACACGCGCUCUAGGCAGACUCUGUAACCUUCUUGUAGCUGAUGCUAUGCAGAGAGACAGCUUCUUUGGCCUUGUCCAUGUGGUGCUUUCGCCAUUUGCUGGGUGGGAAAGGAAAUGAUGGCCCAGCUCUGGCCCGAAGGAAGGCAGAGGUAGAUUUUACCCUCGGUGUGCAACGCGGGCUGGAGCGGGUUUUAAAAGGAAAACAGGAAUUGCUGCUCAAGUUUAGACCUAAAUGACAGUAUCAACCGCAAGUCACUCACCUUAGUUUUGUUUAUUGUUUAUAUUAUGUGAAUACAUUCUUUGGAAAAUAUUUCUGCUUUUAUUUUAUAAUAAAAUUUAGAAAUC